AACGCUAGCUACAGGCUUAACACAUGCAAGUCGAGGGGCAGCAUGGUCUUAGCUUGCUAAGGCUGAUGGCGACCGGCGCACGGGUGAGUAACACGUAUCCAACCUGCCGUCUACUCUUGGCCAGCCUUCUGAAAGGAAGAUUAAUCCAGGAUGGGAUCAUGAGUUCACAUGUCCGCAUGAUUAAAGGUAUUUUCCGGUAGACGAUGGGGAUGCGUUCCAUUAGAUAGUAGGCGGGGUAACGGCCCACCUAGUCAACGAUGGAUAGGGGUUCUGAGAGGAAGGUCCCCCACAUUGGAACUGAGACACGGUCCAAACUCCUACGGGAGGCAGCAGUGAGGAAUAUUGGUCAAUGGGCGAUGGCCUGAACCAGCCAAGUAGCGUGAAGGAUGACUGCCCUAUGGGUUGUAAACUUCUUUUAUAAAGGAAUAAAGUCGGGUAUGCAUACCCGUUUGCAUGUACUUUAUGAAUAAGGAUCGGCUAACUCCGUGCCAGCAGCCGCGGUAAUACGGAGGAUCCGAGCGUUAUCCGGAUUUAUUGGGUUUAAAGGGAGCGUAGAUGGAUGUUUAAGUCAGUUGUGAAAGUUUGCGGCUCAACCGUAAAAUUGCAGUUGAUACUGGAUGUCUUGAGUGCAGUUGAGGCAGGCGGAAUUCGUGGUGUAGCGGUGAAAUGCUUAGAUAUCACGAAGAACUCCGAUUG
rnacentral:rRNA from 2 species